CACCCCCCAAAUUACCCCCAUGCCUCUUCCUGAUCAAUCCCUGCCCCUCUCUCUCCUGUUCUGAUUUUUUGUGAAUGAUCUUUUUCUUUUUUUUUUCCUGAUUAUUUCCCAUAUAAAUUAGUUUUGCCUGUUUAAAGAUUUUAUAUAAAUGGAACCACACAGUAGUUUUGUGUAAGGUUUUUCACAGCAUGAAGGUUUUCAGGAAUCCAUCUAUGUUGUUGCAUGAAUCAGUAGUCAGUUCUUUUUUAAGGCCAAAAUGUACUCCACUUAGGAAGCUUGUAAUUUAUCUACUCCCCUCUAGAUGGACACCCAGGCUAUUUCCACCUAUGGCUAUUCUAAACAAAGCUGCCAGAAAAAAUACUUGUGCAUGUCUUUUUGCAGACCUAUAUUUCACUCCUUGGAAAAUGCCAAGAAGUGAAACUGCUGGCAUCAAGGGGUGUAUAUGUUUAGCUUUAUAAGAAAUGUCCAGACUGAAAACUUGCUAAAUUAAUUAGUCCCCAUAGUUUUGUAGAUUCUUUAGUAUGUUCUGUGCCAUCAACCAUGUCAUCUGUAAACAGAGAGCACUUUACUGCUUCCUUUUCAAUCUGCAUUUCUUUUAUUUCUCUCUUCUACAAGCUGAGAUCUCCAAAACAACUUCAAGAGGUAAGAGUGGACACCUUACCAGGUGAUCAACCUUAAGGGGAAAAUAUGCACCAUUUUACCAUUAUGUAUAAUGUUAGUUGUAGAUUUUCCAUAGAUUGACUUGAUCAGGUACAAGCUCCCCUCAUUCCUACUUCAAGUUCUUAUCAUAAUUAGGUAAUGCAUUUGUCAAAUGAUUUUUCUGCAUUUACUUGUAUUUAUCUGUAUCACCAUAUAGUUAUUCCCCUCUAUUUUGUGGUCUAAAUGAAUUACAUACAUUUUCAAAUGCUAAACUUGGGCAUUUCAGCAAUAAAGCCAACUAAUUUGUGACAAAUCAUCAUUUUCACACAUUGUAGUAUUCUAUUUCAUAGGAUUUUAUUAAGCACUCCAUUUUUAAAAAUUUGUUUGGCAUCAGAAUUAAGAUAGUGACAUAAAAUGUGUUCUCAUUCUCUGUUUUCUGAAAUACUUUAAGAGUGGUGUUACUGUUUCCUCAAUUGUUUGAUAGAAUUCACCAGUGAAAUCACAUGGACCACAAGUAUCUUUUUAACAGUCACUGUUCAGGCAUUGUGUAAGGUAAUUUAAUUGCAUUAUUCCUGUUUAUAGAAACACUUUAAAUAGUAUAGUACUUUGUUUUAAAUGUGUCAAAACUGAGGGUUAACAGAGAUUAAGUAACUUACCCAAAGACAUGUAGCUAGUAUGUCAGACAUAAACACCCGGGUAUGAUUAGCUUUAAAAUUUUUACCUUGCCAUAGGAAGUCAUGACAGAUUUUAAGUUGCACAGAUCACUUAAGCUGUGGCAAUAUAUGGUACACACAAAAUGAGCUAGGGACUCUGCUGGUCAUAAUUGCUUUUUCAAGACAAGAAAGAAGUCAUUUCUCUAAAAUGUAUUAAAUUCAAAGUCCAAUUUCAAGCACGCCACUAAUCUAAUACUUUUUUCUUUUUUUAGGGCCGCACCUGUGGCAUAUGGAAGGGGUCAAACCAGACCCAUAAAGCUGCCGGCUUAAAGCACAGCCACAUGGGAUCUGAGCCUCUUGUGCAACCUACACCACAGCUGAUGGCAACGCCGGAUCCCUAAGCCACUCAGCGAGGGCCAGGAACAAACCUGCAUCCUCACGGAUACCAGUUGGGUUCGUUACCGCUGUGCCACAACUGGAACUUCCACCACGAAUCCCAUUCUUGAAAGAAGGCACAUUAGAUGAUGAAGUCAGCUAUAUUUAAUAUUAAUCAUAGAUUAAAACAUAUUCACUCUAUCCUAUUUUUGUUUUAAAUAUCUGAUUAUGCAACUGUGUGUACCUAGAGCCUACAAAUAUAUAAAAUAAGCCACUGGCUCAGUUUAUUCCUUCACUAGUGGGUCCUCAUCAUAGAAAAGCCAUGAGAAAAUUAGGAUGCAUUAGACAGUAGAGUGCUAAUUAGUAAAUAUAAGAAUCUCAUUUAAAAAUCACACUUAUGUAACCAAAUUUCUCCCCAAAACUAACAUUUCUAUUUGAUUGGACACUGAAAACAAACACCACAGAUCUCUAGGCUCUUUAUGAUUCCCUGGUAACCCAAAAGAGAGAGAUUUGCUUCUCAAAAUGGGAUAUAUCACUGCCUAAUGAGUUUCCAAGUCCAAAAAUAACCACACACACACACACACUCCAAUGGUACUGGGCAUACAAAAUAAACAUACAUUGCUGUGGAUUGAUUUUUUUUAUGUGAGAAAAUACACAGGCACAUGAUCCCAACAUAAAUAUUCAACUUAUUAUUUCCUUCAUUUAAAGUUACCAAAUCAGCAAAAAAAGAACAAGUCAGCUACCCAGUGUUUCUUUUAGCAAGUCAACUUUAUCCAUUCGAUUUUCUCAUUCAUCUCACACACGUGAAUUAAGAAGACUGUAAGUUUCUCAGCACACAGGCCUAGGGAAAAAAUUAGGUUAAAAGGGUUCAUUUUUGACUAUAUAUCCAGCUGUUUAUAGCCUUUCAUUUUUUCCAUGAACUUAACUGGUAUCACUAUAUGUAAAGUUUCUAACACUUCCAGCUAGGGAAUACUUCACAGAAGAAAAAUGCUUUCCUUGGAGUUUACAAAUGCCAUUUGGUCUAAUUUUUCAGCAAGGGUUUGUCUAGUUAGAUUAUGAGAUUUUUCCUGGAGAGCAACAGCAAGAGAAUGUCUCCCAUGCUGUCAGAAAGGGAGAGUUAUAUUUUUGUUCCUUGGAAGAAACAUAUAAUGUAAUGGGCAAAAUGUCAAGUGGGUGGGGAGUUAUUAGCCCAUAUAAACCUCCAGAGAGCUCUCUCAGGAAAAGGAAUUCUGAAUAAGACACUGCACUAGCACAUUUGGCUUCAAAACGUCAUUCAAGGAGGCAGAUAGGGGGCUGGGUUUUACGGGAGCAGGACCCACACCAAAUGUUCCUAACCAGACAGCAAGUGAUUGUGAGGUUCUGAGGGCUCCCCAAAGUCAGGAGUUAUUUAGGAAAACUGGAGUUUUAAACACUGGGAAGAUGGACUGCAAAAAAACGAGCUCAGAGCGUCAAGGCAGAAUCAAUACUGGGACCUUAGGAGCUGGUUCAGAGAGAGAGCUUGCACACAGGAACAAAGGAGAAACACCCUGGAUCCUUUCUGCAAGGCUUCCUGCCUGGAUUUCUCAUCUAUCAGAUGGGCGUGUCUAUGGGAAAAGUCCGAAUGGCUUAUGAAGCUCAAAGUAAGACGUGGGUCAAGAUGCAGUUGCUCUACAUGAGAACAGCUGAAUUGCCAGACAAUAUUCUAUUCAUUUAUUUAGUACAUAUUUCCUGAGCAGCUCAACGCCUUAAUUUUUUCCUAAUGUUGGCCUCUAUUUUAGAUAAGUCUGAUAUAUAUUUUUAAAAUCUGUAUUUAAAAACUAAGAAUGCUGCAGCUGUACACCUUGGCUCGGGAACAUCCGCAUGUCCUGGGCUCAGCCAAAAACAAACAAGCCAAUGCCCACCGUUUCCAGGAGGCUUCACUGGAGGACGGCAUUCUACUUCACAGGCAACGCAUUUAAGGAGAGUUGAUUUGCAAAAUGUUUUCUCAGGGAUCCCUUCAUCAUGCAUGUGGAGCUUUACGCAGCGUGGUGAUUAAGAACAGGAACUGGGAAGGCAGGCUGCAUGGGCUCAAAUGCCAGCUUCACCACUUUUAAGCUGGGUGACCUUGGGCAAGUUAUGAAACCUUUUUGGAAUCAGUUAUUCUCCACUCUGCAACGGAGGAGAGAGCAAUACCUACCUCACGUGGGUGUUCUGAAAGUGAUUACACAGAAAGCAUUGUCAAAUCAUGCCCAGCCGGAGGAGGUGAUAGCAAAGAGUCAGCUGUUGAUGCCGUUAUACUCCGAGAACAUACAUACUGUGAAAAGACCAUUUCUUUUUCUUCUCACUAGAUUAAAAAAUGUUCCAUUUCAAAACAUUCCAAAAACCAGGUGGUCCUGUCUAUCUCACUAUCUGCCAAACUCCUUCCUUAAAGAAACUGAAGUUAUGUGGCUCGAAGUCAAAUUUAAUGAUUGAGACUGCAUCUACAAAUCCACCAAGACUUGGGAAAGGAAUAGCCCUUUAAUAAUUCAUAGUUACUAUUUCAAAUGCCUGUUUGGGUCUGGAAGUAACCAAAUGAGCAAGUUCUAACUACUCACACGUACACCUCAAUAACAACCAAGCCUCAUCCCCUGACAGAAUCAGAUGGGGUUACGGAAACUCAGACCACUCUCACCUUCCCAUCCCUCACCUCCACCUGCAUCAGAUGCCACGGCCACUGUUCUCUGUGCAGAUCCCUGGGCACACCACUGGGCACUCCCAAGAUGGCACGGGAACCCCAAAGUGAUAGAGCCACAACAGUGGCCUCUGGCAAAGGACACUGCUUUUCCUGGUGCCCAAGGCCAUGAGGGGAGCCUGUCAUGAUGCUUCAAGUUCCUGUCACAGAAACUGCCAACAGCUCUCUAGAUUUUUAUUGACAGGCUUUCUGCUGUUUUCCACAAACUCCCAAAUCCCAUUAAAAACAAUUGUACACCUUGGCCGGGAAAGUCCUCAUGCCUGGGGCUCAGCCAAAAACAAACAAGCCAAACAGACAAACAAACUUUACAUUUAAGGUGUUUUUAUAGUUUGUAGAAACCUUGUUUCUUAUGCAAAUUCCAGAUAACUGUGUCAUGGGGGAGGGGACCAAAUAUAAGUAAAUGUGCACAUAUUUGACUACGCAGAAUGACUGCUCAUACACUGUACAUAUAGGCGGGGCCUUUACCAGCCUCCACCUCUGAGUUCUGUUUGAAAUAGCUGACAAAGGACAUAGAAGAUUCUCUGCAAAGUGGGAGAAGGUGUGGUUCAUGCGCAGUCUUCAAGUCUUCCCAAAUGACUUGGGAAUCCAUUGUUGGGCUGGUGGGGGCGGGGGUGGCCAAAAAGUUGACUUUUGGCUAUUUUUAUGUUCAUAACCAGUUAUCUACAAGCAUAUGAAAAACUUAAAUGGAAAAAGUAAGAUUUAAGAAGAGAGAAAUACACUGAAUUUUAGAAGUCCUCCUUAUAUUACUCUUUGCUUUUCAGCAUUGUUGAUUAUCCUAAGGACAGCAAGAAGGACUUAGAUCCCAUCAUUUCCCAUCAUUUCUCAAGUGGUCAAGAUCAAUAAUCUUCCAAAGAAAAAGCAAACACUUUCAUAGAUAAGCUUAAUUAUAAGGAGGUUUUCAGGGUCGGUAGUGCUUUGCUAGAAGGACAUUUAGCAGCAGAAAAGGCUGAGCUCUAAAGCUUCUCCAUGGAGUUCCUGUGGUGACUCAGUGGUAAUGUACACGACCAGUAUCUGUGCAGACUGGAGUUCAAUCCCUGGUCCCCCUCAGUGGGUUAAGGAUCUGGUGUUGCUGUGAGCUGCAGUGCAAGUCACAGAUGAGGCUUGGAUCCCAGGUUGCUGUGGCUAUGGUUGUGGCCCGCAGCUGCAGCUCCAACUUGACCCCUAGCCUGGGAACUUCCAUGUGCCUGGGAGCAGCCCUAAAAAGACAAAAAAAUAAAAAUAAAAAAAUAAAAAAUAAACCUCCAACACCUACAGACCUACACUGUCCAAUAUGGCCACCACCAGCCACACGUGGCUUUGGAGUGUUUUGCAUGUGACUUGUCCAAACUGUAAAACAUACUAGAAGUUAAAGGUUUUGUAUGAAAUAAAGAAUGUGAAGUAUCUGUUAAUUUUAUACUGAUGACAUAUUAAAGUGAUCAUACUUUGGAUACCUGGGUUUAAAUAAAAUACGAAUAUUAAUUUCAUUUGUUUCUCAUUACAUUUUUUUAUGUGGCUGCUAGAAAUUUUAAUCUUCUCGAUGCAGUUUGCAUUUGAGGUCCACAUUACUUUUCUUUGGACAGAACUAGGUUGAAUCGACGAGAAGAGAGAAGAGGGGAGGAAGAUCUCAGAGCCAGCAGGGCUCAGAAUAAUUAGCACAAGGAAUUACUAUAGAACAGUCCCAGCUAGCCCAUUCCUCAAAAUGAUAGAGAAACCUUGCCACUGAGAACCUAUGUACCUCUGGCUUUUAGUAGACACGCCUUUUUAAAAUCCAUCAACAUGUAUUAAGUUAUAUCUAUGGCUUUGAAGGAAUAAGAAAUGACAUAGGUAGAUAGGGGAUAUGCACAAAAAUUAUCAACUGAUGAUCGCCUAUAUUGGGUGUGGUACAGGAGGUAAAACAAUCACUACCAUCUCACACUCACAAUUCAAAACCCCUAGGCAAAUGUACUCCAGUGGUUGGACUUACUGAAAAGGAAGCAAAAUCCAGCUGCCACCUGUUUUUGGUUUUUUUUAAAUAAAGUUUUACUGGAACAUGGCCAUGGCCAUUCAUUUACGUAUUGCUCAUGGCGCCUUUUGCAUAAGAAGAAGAAAAAAUAAAGUUGUCCAUGAUCAACACUACCUAUCUUGAAGAGAAUAAAAGCAGAGUCCUCUACACACCCAUGAAUUCGCAGCAAUCAGCUUCCUGAUCUUGCUGUUCCUAGAAUAUACAAAAUAAGCUCUAACAUCAAAGCCUUUGCCACCACGGCUCCCCCUGCCUAAGGGCCUCGGAUUCUACAGAUCCACAGUCCCCUCCCUCACCUCCCUCAGGUCUUGGGCAUAUGUCAGUGACUGCUAGAUAGAAAAGAGCUGCUUCCUUCCCUUUCCUGCUAUAUUUUUCUGCCCAGUACUUACCAUGAACUGACCCACUGUAUAUUUCACUUCUAUGUUUACUGUUUUUCUUUCGACUGGAAAGCUGCUCAAGAGGUCAUGUGUUUGUUUUUUUUCUUUUUUUACUACUAUACCCUUAGCAUUUAGAAUGGUGUCUGGGCCAUAUAUACAUAAAAGAGUGACCAGAGAGUUCACUAUUAUUGUUAACUGUAUAUGAGACAAUGAAACGUGGGCAAGAUGCAUUUCCUGCCCUAAGUAGUAAGAAAUAUCAUCAAAUGAUUUAAAAACAUAGGCAUGAACAUAAAGGAAUAGACAAAUGGAAAUAACUCUGUAUCUCUCCCUCCUUCCUGCCACCCUUUAUUCCUACUCUUACACAUCCAGCCAUCAGUUUAACCAUCCACCUACCUGGUAGCAGAAACACCUGUAAUACGAGGGGAAGUAUGAUGACCUGAGGAAAUUAGCUAUAGCUAUGAUCAUCACCACAAUGCUUUUUGUAGGGGGUACAACACAGGGACGAACCGUCAUCCAUGCUGGGAUAUCGGAGGAGGGUGCUUCAGAAUUUAUGGUUGCCUAGACCACUGGUUUUCAAACUUUAUUUAGCACAUUUUUUCUUCUAAAAGGAUUUUUAUGGAACACCAAUGUUCAUGGUCAAAGUCUUCUCUUUCCGAGAAGCCCAGAGCGAUGUUACUUUCCCCUUCUCUAACCUCUAUCCUUCACGGUAUCAGGGGCAUCUUCGUGCUUGAGAUUAUUUAAAACACAGUUUGAAAGGGACCUACUUCUAGAAAUGGGACCUCAGAGUUUUCAACAAUUUUAUUGUUUCAAAAACCUAUAAAAAGUUAGAAAGAAUUAGCAAACAAGAAUUGGGAACCCGGCUUGGUAGAAUUAGAAGUCUGUGUCCCAUCACAGACAUCACAGGUGACGUGACAGAAUCACACACUAAUAAACAGACAACCACUCCCAGUUGCACUCCUGGCCUCACCUUAGCCAUUUUUUUCUUUUUUUUUUUUUUAAUUAAAUGGCAGCCAAGGGAAAUGAAAAUGUAGACACCAGCAGCAGUAACCUGAUAAAGAUCCAGAUACCAGUGCUGCUGACAGAGCAGAGAGAGCGCCAGGCAUGAAAUGAGCUCUCCAUUCAGUUCUGACUGUGAUGAAGUCUCCCAGAACAAUCCUUAGACCAGCCUCCUUCCCCUUCUUCUCUCUGCAUUGCUAAUAUUUAGACAUGUGCUUCUGCGAGGACAGAGAGGUGCACUUCUCCGUUCAAGAGCUUAGUUCCUCAUCAUCAGCUGAGCCCACUUGAAAAGCAAAGCGAUAAAUCACUGUCCUCUAUUACCAUCAAUCAGGGGAAAAAGCAAUCAUCUAAUUUAUCAACAUCAUCCUACAAAUACUGUGACAUAAAGUGACAUGUAGAACAGGAACACGUUUACACAAAGUUUGGGGAUCCUAGCGUGUACUGAUUGCUUUAAUCAAAGAAAUUCAAAGACAUACUGAUAUAGAUUUGCCACAUUUAUAUCACACCUGAAUAAUUCCUCUCUUUAAAAAAAUUCAAACUGAAUUAAACUUGUCUCCAUGGAUGUUAUCGUCUAUCCCACAUGUCCUUUUGCCAGAUGGUGCUCUAAGUACCAAGAGCCUCGUAUCCAAGACUAUACACCUUCAUCCUGAGCUUUCACCAUCACCACAGUAUUUAAACGUUAAAAUAGCUAUAAGGUUAAGGUAAUUUUACUGUGAUAAAUAGAGACAACUUUUUUUUUUUUUUUGGACUGCGCCCACAGCACAUGGACGUUCCCAAGCCAAGGAUCGAAUCCAAGCCUCAGCUGUACCUAAGCCACAGCUGUAGCAAUGCUGGAUCCUUAACCCACUGUGCCACAGUGGGACCUCCUAGAGAAAGCUAUUUUUUAAUCUCUUACAUGUGACACUUGGUAUGAUAAAAAUGUAAAUACUGUAAUGUAAAGUGCAGUUACCAAAACUCAACAAGAGAGUAGUGAACCUACAUCUACAGGGGCAGCCUGGUUUCUCAUCCUCAAAGUCCUAUUCAAAUAGCUUUACUCUAAACAUCAGAGAAUAUGCAUUUUUAUUUUCAGAAUUAAGUGCAUCCAAGAAAUAAAACUUUUCAUUGAUGGGAAACUGACAAACGUACUGCCUAAAACCACAUGGUACCGUAUUUCCAACUGAGUUUUCUUGAUCCAAAAUAUCCUGACAGCCAAAUUUCAAAACUAAAAAACAAUUUUAGGGAUGGAAACUUAGAUAUAGUAAAUAGAGCUAGUUAUUAUUCUCCUUGAAUGAACUGGUUAGACUUUGUGUAUUUUUGUAGAAGUAACCCCGUGACAAGCUCAUUCAAUUAAGUUCCUCUCUGCUGCCAGGUUAAGAACCCAAGUCUUCAAACAAGGUUCUUCCCCUCCACAUCAAGAGAGAUUUUAAACAAGUCAUGAAAAUUAAUGCUCAGGAAAAAGCUCAAGAGUAUCAACAAAUGUCCACUGCUCUCCAAAUCCUAACUCAACAGAAGCCACCUUUACCUGUCCUGCCAUCUAAGAACAGGAGACCUUAUUGUCAUUAAUUAACAUUGCCCCUAACCAAUAAUACAUGUAACAUACAGGAAAUAACCCCACAUCGUCAUAGUACUGAGUAGAAGAUGUGCAGCAAAUAUCCAGACACAAGUUUGACUGGAUACUAUUCAUCUCAUAUCAAUAGCAGUGGUGAGUAAGACUAAAGAAGAUGAAGAUGGAGAGAGAAGGUGAGGUACCAGAGAAAAAGAAAAUAUUUUUUUGUAUACAGGUAGACUAUGAUUUAUGCAUAAAUGUUAAUGAAUGAUAAAAUGUAGCAUAAUAGCAAUUAAGUAAUUCAGCUAGACAGUAAAAUGCCAACUUGCAUGCAUAAUAAGUUACUCGGUUUUUUAAAAAUAUUCCAAUACCGGAGUUCCCGUCGUGGCGCAGUGGUUAACGAAUCCGACUAAGAACCAUGAGGUUGCGGGUUCGAUCCCUGCCCUUGCUCAGUAGGUUAACGAUCUGGCAUUGCCGUGAACUGUGGUGUAGGUCGCAGAUGCGGCUCGGAUCCCACGUUGCUGUGGCUCUGGUGUAGGCCGGUGGCUACGGCUCCGGUUCGACCCCUAGCCUGGGAACGUCCAUAUGCCGAGGGAGCGGCCCAAGAAAUGGCAAAAAGACAAAAAAAAAAAAAAAAAAAAUUCCAAUACCCAUUGCUAGUUUCAGUAAAUUUGCUCUUAUGAUAGAUCAAAUAGAGAUAUGACAGAGAUAGUGCAGAUGUUCCUAUAAACAGGAAUAUGAAAAUGCCUAUCAAAAGCAGUAAUCCCAAUCUAACAAUACGACUUUCUGUAUCUCUCAAUUAUCUCUCCGAUGUAUUUUUUUUAAAAUGUGAAACAGAGAAAAAGGCUGUUUGUGCAAAAGUGUUCAUCUUAAGUUUUAAAAAAACAAACUUUUCUGGCUUGAAAAUUCCAUACAGGAAAAUUCAGCAUGUUUUUUUAUCCUCAAGAUGCUCAGCUUUUUGUCUUUUCUUUCAACUGGACCAUAAAUUCCUUGAGGGCAGCAAUUGCAUCUUGUAUCUCUCAUCCCGUAUAGUGCUGUUUAGUACUCAUUACUAGCCAAGUAAAAGUCAAAUCAUACGGCCAGUGAGCAACUGGUGAUACGUUUUCUUCUUAAGUGGUCGGAUUAUGAAACAGAAGGGUAAUUCUACAUGUCUCUCCAAAUACCCAUAGGGGACUCUGACUUCGUAAUGUAGAUCUUUACAGCAGAUGAACUCCUGGCAAAAUGCUAAAUGCUUUACACACCACUAUUGUAAUGAAUUUCAAAAUACAUGUCAAAAAAAAAAUAAAAGAGGUUAAAAAUUUGAUAGCUAAAAAUCACUAAAGGAAAAGCAUUACAAGAUGAAGUCAAAAUCUCCCACAACAUAAGGACAAAGACAGAAAGAUGGAAAAUGGGAAGGAAAGCCAAGGGAUGUAGAGGAUCAAAUCAGAGGACCCAACAUCUGACUGACAGGAAUUCCAUUAAGAAAGAACAGAGAAAGCCUAAGGAAAACACAUCAAAAUAAUAAAAGAAAAUGGCCCGGAGCCAACUGGAGAUGUAGUUUCCAGAUUACUUCAAGUACCACUCCGUUAAUAAGACCCGAACAUCAUUACAAAAUUUGAGGACCACACUUAAGAGAGAGCCCAAAAGUUUCAUGAAAGAAAAACAACACUGAAUCUAGAAAGAAAAUUCCAUUUUUUAAAAAGGCUUCUAUGUUCUUCUCCCAGGAAAAAUAAAAGCAGAGAUCCAACACUUCAGGGUUAAGAGACUAUAUAUGAAGGUUAGAGGCCACGUUUGAAGAAAAUGAAUGUUGUACAGCGUCAAUGAAUUGAUACAAAUAAAUAAGGAAUCUUCAUCUCAUCCCGUCCACAGAGAGGCCCAAGAAUCAUGAAAUUGGAAAAGAACGUAAUCAGACCAUCUUACUCGGUCCCUUAGUGGACAUUAUUUGCAUAGAUAGAGCAUAAACGCUGAUGAUUUUCAAUUUGUAAGUAUCCACCUAAAUAUGCAACACAGGAGACUCUGUAAUAGUUACAGAACAGAAUUGUCAACUUUAGCAAUUAGAAAAUAAAUGCAGCUUAAACAUUUCGGAAAGCAGGAUAUAAAGAGCUGGGGUAAAAGAUAAGGUGCCUGUAUAUUUUUCUCAUGGAGUGGAUUUUUUUCAAUAUGCUACUGUAAAGUCACCCAAAGAAACCAGAAGCAGAGUUGUAUUUUUUUUUUGAAGUGAUACACAAAUUAAAAAAUGUAUAUUAAGGAAGAUUAUAGGACACAGAGAUGUAUGUCGAAUGAAAAUGGUGAUGGGAUUGGGCUUUAUGUUCUUUGUUUCACAUGCGGUUCCAACCACUGUAUUAGUAGUUGGGAGUUAAAAAUCAAGCAAAAAGAAAACACAUGCUCUAUAUUAGUCUGCUUGCUAGAAGGCAUUUUUAAAAAACACACGAAAUACCACUUUCUGUGGUAGGAGACAGAAACUGUGGUAGUUAAUUUACAAGCCAGAUAAUACCAUUUUCAUCCUAAUAGAAUAUCCCACAAGUGCUUUCAGGGGAUCGUGAAGGCCCAUUUUGACAUGAGUUCAUCUUCAGAGUGCCUCUGCACUCCCCAUGUACCUUCUCAUUUCCAAGGAAUAGGACACUAAUGCAAUGACUCUGCGCCAGAGUCCUCUUCAAAAUGCUGGCUUUGAUGGAAAUGGAACAGUUUUCUCUUAGUAUCCUCUGGUUACCUGAAAGAGCUGGUAUCCCCCUAUUUUUUUUCCCCCAAACUCUUGUUCUUGACUAUAAAAGUCUUCCUUUAUUUCCAUCUACUUAUAUAUUUGAAGCACUUUUCUUCCAAAGACUCAGGCUGCUUUAAACAUAUCAUUUUGGCUGUCUUUGUGUGAAGAACUCAUUUUACAACUCCAUGAAGACUGCAAAGGUAAGCACCAUUAAUCCAAUUCUUAAGUGGAUAAACACUACGAGAAGUUAAAUAGUGACAAUAGUGACAUAGUGACGCUAGCGUCUUUAAGCAGGACCAAAAUCCUAUCUUCUAAUUUCUAGAUAACGUUGCUAUCUCAUCGCAUUUGAAUGAUAUUAGUUUAGAGGUUCACAAAUUCAGACCAAAACCGUUUCCACAAACAUGACCAUGGUGGACUUCUAGGCUUUAGCUAGCUUAAUUCGACCUAUUUGAAAAACUGAAAAACUUCAGAUUCAAAUUUAUAUAUUUAACUUCCUCUAGGUUUCUCUGAAAAGAAAACUGGGUAUUUUUCCAUUAACAUUUGAAGUGAAGUAGCUUUUGCAUUCAUACUGAAAAGAAAAUUAAAAGAGGGGGAAGCAGGAUCAGAGCAAUUAUCAUACUAUUUCUCAAAAGGCUUUUCCAUAAAUGUUCUGAGUGUAUCAUGAGCUCAUUAACACAUGAGGAAAGUAAACUUACACAGGGUCAGGAAAAGAGGAAAUUUUAGUCGUAAAAGUACAAGUAAUUGAAAAUAACUGCAUAUUCAAGUUUCAGCGCUUACACUGAGGUUCUAAUAUUGAGUAUUUGCCCUUCUCGAGAUUCUGAUGGUUACAAAAAAACAUCAAGGGAAAACAACAAAACCCAAAUGGAUGAUGGGUUUUUCCUUUAGGGGAGAAGUUUAUUGUAAACAGAAGUGGUGGUUGGGAAGAACAAAAGGGGGGGCUGAGAAAGUGCCUGGAAGGAGGCUCUCCUGCUAACUAUGCAUGAAGUCAUCUCGAGUGGUUGCACUGGCUGUCCCCAGCCUUGAAAGAAUCCUGAGUGCCUGGAGGAGUGGGUCUUCCCACUGGAAGAGCCAACCCACCCAAGUAGAAAGUGCAGCCUGGGAACUAGCCCCAGGAGAAGUGGGCCUGCUUACACUUCCUACCAGCAAGCAGGCAGGAAGCACUGUCAGCCUGACAAAGAGGCAAGCAGAAGCCAAGGCUAAAAGUAGACUGCAUUUCUGAGGUUCUAACAUUGAAAGAACGGAAACCAUAUGGGAAUUUAUUAUUCAACUGAAGCCUUCAGGUGGCUUUAAAUUAAAAGGAAUAUCGUCAACCACAUCCCUAGGCCUUUUUCUUCCCUUUCUCUACCCCCUCCUCUUCUUUUCAAAUUUUACAAGCCCUGUGAUUUAGCAGUGGAAAUUCCCUAAAUAUAAAUGAAGCAUUAUGUCCACCCAAGAAAUUCUUUCUGGUAUUCAGCCAGUAGUUUGGCAUUAAAAGCUCUCAUGUGAGUCUUGGGAGGAUAACUUUGUGUGUGUGUGUGCGUGUGUAUACACACUCUCAUUUUUCCUUCUUUAGAAUUAUUCUGCAUUAUGUAAAGAUGCUUGUUGAGAGGUCUACAUGUAGCAUCAGAAGGGAUGCAUGCUCCCUGAAGAAAUGCAACAACGACAUAGAAAUGCAGGCCAAUCCUCCAAGAGUAUAAACUGGCCACACGGUUUUCUCUAACAGUAGCUAUCGUGCUUACAGAUGUCCUACCACUGCCAUCUCACAACUGAGAACAUCCCUCCAUAACUCAAACAUCAACUCUAAAGAGAGAGUAAUGAUGAGUGCCAUCAACAGGGCAUGCUGACAACACUGCGGCAACUCAGUACCCCGAAUCCUGACUCCGAAUAACCGAAGCUUGCUUCGUGCUCAAGCUCCAAGUCUGACCUAGGUCAGAGGGUCUUUCCAUCAGGCCUCCUUCAAGACUGGACUGCGAAGGUUACCACUAAGGCAGGUGGAAGGGGAUGAAACUGAAUCCGGAGGUGACUAUUCAACACCAUCUGGGAAGUAUGAGAUGUGACCUCGGCUCACAUUUCCUUGGCAAAGGCCAGUCACCUGGUCAUGCUUAACCUCAGAAGAAGCAAGAAAGUGCAACUGCAGUAAAUGUCCCAAAAAGAGGGCCACGGACACAUGUGUGAGCAUCUGUGAUGAUGGCAGCUUGUCUAUUAAAAGAAUAUACAACCUUCUAGAGCCCAUAAAACUUAUCACUUGAUACGUGACAUAGAUCAUAGAUCCCAUCUUAUGUUUACUUCUAUUCCCGGUCCCCGAGGAACAGAAUGAGAGAGAUAGACAAGACGGACAGACAGACAGAGACAGAGAGACUGAACAAUGUAGCUAUGAUAGUUUCUACUCCUUUGGACCCUUAUGUCAAUUUGGCAGGUUAAGUAAAACAUUUCUUUCUACUGUUCAUAACAAAGAUAAUAAAAUAAAUGAUUGAUGCUAUGUAUAUUCUUCGAGUGCUUCCUGGAUUCUCUGUAGGACAGGACAGGGUGCUCAGUCUCCAGUAAGACGGUUAAAGACAGCAGUUCACAAAGAUAUAUGGAAGGAAAUUCCUUGCUAGUCAUUUAAAGAGGGCCAAGUGAAUAUUUCACUCACCUGCCCUUCAUGCGCAUGUAAAUAUUCUCCCUGAAACACUGAGAGACAGAGUAUUCAGGACAAACUAUUUUAAUAUAAAUAUGUCUCUCUUCACUUAGAACAUACAGACCAGUAAAGGAAUGUCUGCAUAAAUCUUGUUUUCCCAAGAAACAGUCCCAAAAAAUGUGUUAUCGCAGAGAGAAGCUGAAGGUCAAAUGGGAAGGAAUACAUUGAAGAGGAACCUUAUUUUCUCUAGUUCAGAAAUACAUUCCUUCUCUAGUACAUGAACCCUGCCCUGCACCCUGAACUUUUAAAUAGGGUGGAGUGAAGGAAACGUAUUGGAAAGAGACUGGGGAGGCUUUGAGUAAUGUUAGAAUACUGCUUACUGUUUACUAGAUACAUGGAGGGAGUUAAAUAAAAAAUUCAUGCCAAACAGUAUCGCUACAAGAGACCAGCUGUUCUUAUUUAUUCCAACAGACAUGGUUGCACAGGACUCCAAGCUCUGUUAUCCAGGCUCAGUGUAACUACUCCAGCAACAAUUGCCAGGGCUUUGAAGUAACUCAGGUCACAGAACAAGGCACUCAUUUUACAGAGAAAUGCUUAAGACCCUUUUUUUUUUUUUUUCUAAGAAGAACUCUAAAUUUUACCUGAAAGCUCUCAAAUUUGACCAUAAAAAAGUCGCGCCAUAAUGUAGGCUCAGCUCCUCAAUUAUGGUCCUUCUCCCCUCAUGCCCAAGGCUCACCAGCCACCCUCACCCCCACCUCGUCAAACUCCACGCUCAUCUUGGAGGACAGACACCAUCCCUUGAAACAGGACCAAAGGUUGAUGCUCCCAGCACAGCACUGGCCUUCAGCAGGAAAGCCUGAGUGAAGUCACUCCCUCCUCCCAGAGGGCCUCUGAGUACAGCCAGCUCACUGCAAAAUUGGUGAGCCCUCUCAUUUCUUCUUCCUUUUUGAUCAUCGUCAAUAAGCAACUAUGAGGAAGAUGCUCUAAAUACUCCUGGCAUUUAAGUACUGAAGAGGGCUACGAGUGCAAAAGCAACGACUUUGGUCACGAGUGACCUCUAACGAGGGUGUUCUAAGUGCCAGGCUGCGUGCUAAGAGCUUUAUCACCUCAUUUAAUCCUUAAGACAAUGCCAUCUAUGGAUCUCCUUCCAAAAAGUACAAUGCGGAGGGGCGGAGCCACUUUAUAAUGGAAAAGCCUGAAAACAUAAUCUCAGCCAGGUGAUCCAGGUCAACCUCAACAGUAAUAAGCCUUGUUAAUAGUAUAUACCCUUGAUAUAACAUGUUGAGGACAAUCUUUCAAAAACCCAUAACCCAGUUUAAUCAUGAGAAAAACAUCAGACAAAUCCCCAAUUAGGGACAUUCUACAAAAUACUGACUUUAACUCUUCAAAACUAUCAAGGUCAUCAAAAAAUGAGUCUAGAAACAGCCAUAGUUCAGAGGCAUCUAAGUAUACAGGACGGACAAAUGAAACGUGGUAUCCCAGAGUGAGCUCCUGGAAGGGAGGACAGUAGGGGAAAUCUAGGGGAAUCCAAGUAAACUGUAGAGUUAACAACAAAGCACUGAUGUUCGUUCCUUAGUUUUGACAAACAUUCCAUGGUAAGGUAACAUGGUGACAAUAAGAGAAACUGGGUGAAGAAUAUAAGCAUACACUCUUCCUAGCUUUGCAACUUUUCUGGGUUAAUCUAAAACUAUUCUAAAAUCAAGUUUAGUUUUAAAACCCUCUGAGGUUGAUGCUCUUAUCUCCCUUCUAGAGAUGAGAUAUGAUAGCUUAAAUAGUGCUACAAAGUGACAAGCAACAGAGCAAAAGAACUUGGUCAGAUAGGUCUACUCACGUUUAAGCACCAGUGGAAUAAGGCUGCAACAUAGCCCUUGCAUAAGAUCUAUAAAAACGAUUUUAUGCCAGAUACAUGCUGAGAAAUUUCAACUAAAGGAAUGUAUUUCACUUACAUUCCUCAUUAUAAUACACUUUUAUUUCAGUACACACUUUUAAAUAAAGGGGCCAUAACAUUACUUUCCAAAUAUUUCAUUUUAAUUUUCAUCACACAUUUCACAAUGACUCCAUCAAUGUUCUGAGAUGACUACACUUAAACAACAUCAGCUGAAGGUUUUUGCCAAAAGCUAUUUUUUCUUCUUUUAUUGAGGUAUAGUUGCCAUUUAUAUUAUAUAAGUUACGGGUGUACAAUAUAGUCAUUCACCACUUUUAAAGGUUAUACUCCAUUUAUAGUUAUGAAAUAUUGGCUGUAUUCCUCAUGUUGUACAGUAUAUGCUUAUGACUUAUUUUUAUUUUUUUAAUACAUACCUCCUCCUCUUCCAGCUGGUCAUCCUCUUCCAACUCCUGCUCCUCUUUGCGGCCCCUCCAGUGAGUGGUCCAGGCUGCGCUCCACCUGCAGCUUAGUCGGGUGGGAGUCACCGCCAGGGCAGGGGCGCGGGCAGGCGGGGCAGCAUGACUGUGGCUCCCUCGGCCUUCACAGCGCCCACAUCGCCUGUGGUCACCACCGCAUGUUGAGAGCCCCUUCAAGCCAGGGUAGAAACCAGGUCGGGUCAGGGAGACCACGGCUGGAUAGCGUGGGCGUUCCUCCCACCUGCGUGAGCAGCCAGUGCGCAUGCGCGGGAGGCCUGUGGGCAGCUCCCUUGUAGUUUAUUAAACCGAAGAGUAUCUCUUAAUCCCCUUGCCUAUACUGCCCCUUCCCACUGGUAACCACUAGUUUUCUAUUCCUGUGCGUCUUCUCUGUUACCCUUACUAGUUUGUUGUAUAUCAUAAUAGUACUUGCCUUUCUCUGUUUGACUUAUUUGACUUAACAUAAUGCACUUAGUCCAUCUAUGUCGCUGCAAAUGGCAAGAUUUCCUUCUUUUUUUAUGGUUGGGUAGUAUCCCGUUAGUAUACCAUAUCCUCUUUAACAAUUCAUCUGUUGAUGGACACUUAGGUUGCUUCCAUAUCUUGGCAAUUGCAAAUAAUACUGCUAAAACACCAGGGUGCAUUUAUCUUUCUGAAUCAGUGUUUCUGGGUUUUUUGGAUACAUACCCGAGUGCAACUGCUGGGUCAUAUGGUAGUUCUGUUUUCAGUCUGAGAAAACUCCAUACUGGUUUCCACAGUGAUUGCACCAGUUUCCCUUCAAAAGUGUAGAGUUUCCUUUUCUCCACAUCCUGGCCAACAUUCAUUAUUUGUGUUCUUUUUGAUGAUAGCCAUUCUAAUAAGUAAGAGAUGAUAUCACAUUGUGAUUCUGAUUUGCAUUUCCCUGAUGGUUAGCCAAUGAGCCUCUUUUCCUGUGCCUACUGGCCAUCUGCAUUUCCUCUUUGGAAAAACAUCUAUUCCGUUCCUCUGCCCACUUUUUUACUUUUUUUUGAUGUUGAGUUGCAUGAGCUGUUUAUAUAUGUUGGAUAUUAACCCCUUAUCAAUCAUAUCAUUUGCAAAUAUUUUCUCCUAUUUAAUAGGUUGUCCUUAUCAAGGAUUUCCUUGCCGUGCUCAAGCUUAUAAGUUUAAUUAGGUGCCAUUUGUUUGUGUUUCUACUUCCUUUGCUUUAGGAGACAGGAUGCAAAACAAUAUUGCUGUGAUUUAUGUCAAUGAGGAUUCUGCCUAUGUUUUCCUCUAGGACAUUUAACCUAAGAAGAAAAGCAUUUGCGCAUGGCUCUCUCACCCCCUAAUACCGUAUCUUUCACCCACUCUCACAUUACCACCCACAUCUUCUCCUCUGACACUGGAUAUUUUGGUGUUGGUGAGCUCAGCCUGUUGCUCUAACAGGAUGAGUGGGUUAGAGGCUAGGGCACCCUUCAAAGGGAAGUGACGACGUCAACAUAAGGAAAGUUUAGCAUACACUUUGGGUUUUUUCAGAUCCUGAGAGAUGGAAGAUCAGCAGUGGCUGCUCCAAAAACCUAAAGAAAACUAAAUGACCUCUGAAUAUAAAUUCUUAUAGUGUUAUCUACUAAGCCAGUGUUUCCCACAGUGUGAAGCCAGCCUCGCUGGGAAAACUCCAACAUCCUCCACGAAAAGCUCAGGCAGUCCAAGACAUAUUCUUUUUUUCCUUGGGAUUUGCCAAAAUCAGACAGUAGGAUUCAACAAAUAUUUCUAAACACUACUUAAUAUAUUGUUCCCUAUGAGAAUAUAUAGUGGAAGUGGUCCAGCAAGUAAGAAAGCAAGCUGCCUUCUGUGUGUGAUUAGAUUAGCUUGCCUAAGGACAUGAUUUUCACAAUCUUGUUCUAUUUACAUGUUUGGUUUUGGGGCGGCUUUUUGGGUGUUUUGUUUUGUUUUUUGGUUUCUUUGGUUUUGUUUUUUACAGGCAAGUGACUCCUUAAAUUAUUGAUUUUAUCAUUCUGGGCUUGUCUUGGAAUCACUCUGACUCCACACUCACCCCCACCCUUUACCCUUCAAACUAUUCCCAGGCAAUUAGUUAAAGACACCGUAUCAGUUUUAACAAGAGAAGGGUGGAGAGAAAAAGCAGGAAGUGAUGAUGACAAAUUUUCCCACAGCAGAAGAUUAACAAACGGGCGCUGUCUCCUGAUUCACUGGACAAUGGAAACAGAACGAAAUUCAAAGUUUAAUGUCUUCCCUUCACCAAUGGGAAAAGACAUGAACCAAGUUCAAGAAGCCAUAUCAUUCCCCCAGACACACACACGCACAUGCAGCAACUUGGCAAACUGGUACUCAUCCAAAACAAGCCCUUCUUCUCAAGAAUCUUUGCUAUUUUUAAAGCUGAACUCAUGAAAACUCGUUUCAGUUUGGAGCUUUCGGUGAUUGGAGCUGGAAUUUCUUAAACUUCUAAUCUCAUACUAGUAUGAGAGGCCACAGUGUUGAAAGGCCACAGAAAAGGUUACACUUCCAGGACCAUCAUGAUGAGAAAGAAACUGGGCAUCAGAAGCCGACUGCCCUUUGGGUACAUCUUAGGAGUUCAAAGAAGCACGGAAAACCUCUAAAUCAGUUUCUCCAAGUCUGCCCGCAUCCUGAUCCUCCUCCCCUCAGACAUCCCUAAUCUAAAGCCCUCCUUCCAUCCUCCACAGUCUCAGCAUUCCAGAUCGACUGACACUGAAUUCCUCAUACCCAUCUCCCGCCCUUCAAAUCCUGUCCUGAUUCCCCAGAGGACACCUGCUGAACAUUAAACUGAGAUGCAAUUUCAAAGCCAAAAACCUACAAAAUACAGACAGGUCAGAUUUUUCAAAGCACUGGUCAGGGACCUUUUAGUGUUAAAGUUUUCAUGAAUGGUGUCAAGUCGUUCCCAUGAAUUUCUUCUCUGCUUUUGGCUGAGGUUGCCAGCUAUCCACAUGGUAGGAAAGGUUUAACCAUGUGAGAAUCAUAGAGCCGAUAAAACAUAUGUAAAAACGUAAAGCAAAAAGGUCGCUAUUUAAUCUUAAUGUUUACAUGUCCGUACUAGAAUCUUCGCAUUGGUACUAUUAACUUUGUCAGUAAAGCCACACAUCAGUCAAUAUAUCAAAGAGAACUGAUUAAGCCAUUUACCAUGAGAAAAGCACACAGCAACAUGGCAGAGCAUUGAACAGUACCUGGCACACAUGCACUGUUUAAUCAAUCAAUCAACAGUCUUUGACACAGACAACUGGAGGAAAAGAAAAGCCUUCCCUUCCUGGUCUUCACAAAUAUUUCUAGAUAAUUAAAAUGCUAUUUUCAUGAUUGCCCUUUGCUGUACUUAAUAUGUAGGUAAUACAUAUGAUAUUAGUAAAUAGAUAAGCAAAAUAAAGACAUUUAAUUAUUCUCAAAUCACCUAGAGAUGAUAACAUUUAGGUUUAUAUACAACCUCCCAAACUAUUACGAUGCCUACCCAUUCAUGCAAGCAUGCAAUACAGGUUUGGUUUGGUUUUUUUAAGUAAGAUCAGAGAAAAACCUGCAGCAUUGUUUGAAUGCCUCAUUUGGAAUUUUACUGUAUAGUUCUAACAUAAUUUAUUUGAUCACCCUAAUAUUAUUUAGAUAUCUAUAACAAAAUACAUCAAAAAUAAGUUUGUGCUAAAGUAUUCUUGCAGUAAAAUCUUUUUACACAUGUUCUAUCAUAGUCUUAGGAUAGAUCUGCCUAGACGUUGUGCCACCAGAACUAUGAAUAAAAACAUUUUCUGACUUUUGAGCUUAUAUAUUGCAAAAGAAUCUCCAUAUAAAAAUCCCUCCCCCCACAAUAUCUGGCUCUUUCCCAUAUGUGUAGUGACAUUAUAUUUUACAAUUAUUCUCCAAAUUAGCCAGUUUGGUAGUUUAAAAAAAAAUGUCUGGCUCUCUUUUCCAUUCCUUAGAGAGAUGGUGAUUGUUCACAUAUUUGAAUAUAAACACACAUAAUAUUUUGAAGCACCUCAGUAACACGUUCAAGAAGCUUUGGGGAAUGAAUAACUAUUUAAAAGGUACAAGAUAUACUGAAGUCCUAGUGUUAAAUGUUUCCUUUUUUUUUUUUUCUUUUUUUAAAGAUCAUGCCAAAGUUUUGUAGACAUUUCCUGAAGCUCACUAUGUAUCAGGAUGGUGCAACUUGGGAUGAGAAAUGUGCCUUUUUAAGAUUAUCACCUUCUCUUAUCAUCAGAUAGUGAAGAAUGUCUUAGAUGUGCAUAUUCUCUCUUUAUCUCCUGGCCCACUUGAGUUUUGCUUUAAAAUGGCAUGUGUGUGCCUACACACACACACACACACACACAUCUACACGUGUAUGCCCACAUCCAUAUACAUACCUAUAUUUGUUAUAUAUUAAUAUAUGUACACACACAGAUAUUAGACCUUGCACUUUUCCCCCCGGUCUCAGUACAUCAGCUACUGAGAUGCCCUGAGCCACACUUCCUCUGCCCUCCGAGCACGACAGGCUUGCCUGGGCUCUGUGAGCAGCGGGCACCGCCCCCCACAGCCACCGUAACUGACAUCUGCGGGCAAGACGCCGAGGCGCGCCUCAGUCACGUGCGCCUGCUGGAGAAUGCUCACUCACGCACCUGCUUCAACGGUGUGAGUUCAGCCUGUGGGUUUUCCUUGAUUGAUGUUGGUGUAACUGCUUCACGGUCUCUGUGGGUGAAGGGAAGUGGGCUCUGCUCAAAGCAGUUUGUGGUGCUUCGCACUUCCACUCGAUACUAAGCAAAGGACAAGUUACAGAGGUGGGUGCAAGUGCCUGGAGGCUCACCACGCCCUCACUGACAGACCCGAAAGGCAACCCGCCUUAAAAUAAAACAGCAGGGAAAAAAAAAAAAAAAAAAAAAAAAGAGGCUUUGAAAACCAGGAAGCAUCUGUCUCUUUCAGUCGGAACCAGCCUCCCCCAAGAAUCGUGCAUACAUACACAUCCACACGCCAGCCCAAUGCCACCCACGUGGGACCAUUGAUUUCACUACCUCCAGGCUUUCUCAGUUUGAUGAUUUGGCGGUUCUGGAACUGUUCCGAGAGGAGUCAAGACUCACUCUGCCAGCCCCAGCUGUUCAAAGCUCAGCCCAAUCUGUUCCGUACAGUUGGCUGUAUUAUAACAAUAAUGCAGCUACAGUUCACCUUCAUUUGCUGCAAAGAUCAUUAACUAUCCCUCAGAGAGACGCAGCAUUAAAGAAAGAGCGCCCGAGGCAUAAUAAACGGAGGUCUCUGGGUAGCACAGUUCCCCAAAAGGUAAGAGGAUGCCAGCCAGGCCACCUGACAGUUUCCACAGUCAGAGAGAAGGAGAGAAAACAAGGGCAGGAGGGACGGAAAAUAAGAGAAAAAAGAAAAGCAAGAACGUGCCUGGCAAACAUGUAUGCUCAUGUGAAGAGAAAAUAAAGAGGGAAAAAAAUGUUUGAAAUAAUGACAGCAGGACAUUUAAAGUAAAAUCACAGUGGAGACAUGAUUCUACCUGUCUGGCAGCUCUAACAUUCUAAUACAGAGGGAGAAGGAAAUUUGGAGGGUAGAUUGAGAACAGAACAAGUGACUUACUGUCCUGUACAGAAAGAAUGCAAUAUUCUGGACAAGUUCAGCAAAAGAGAAGACGGCAAAUUGAGUGUGACCUGUCUUUAAAUUGUGUAUCUGACCUCCUGUGCAUAAAAUGGAAUUAAAGUGUAGAAGGGGGCGUGUUCUGUCAUCUGAUUCAUGCACUGAGUUCCAGUUUUACGGGAGCCACAUUUGAACCUUAUUCACCAAGAAGCCAGCCCUCUGAAAGCGCCCAGAGGUAAGGGUGUCCCCUUCAAAGAAAGUACUGCAUGACGUAUAAAUACCCGGAAGCUCCUUGGUGGAUAAGGAGAGCACCAAAAUCGAUACCUGUUCUAAGUGAGUUGCCACUGCUGCAUUAAUCUAAACCAAUUUCCAGUCACUAAUGGGUAGAUAAUUCCUGGUGAGGUAGGACUCUGACUGGCAGAUCGCAUCUGCUAGAGAGGUACUUUCUUCGGAGCCACACAGGUACUGUGUUUAAAAGGAAAAAAAAAUUCAACAGCUCCAUGUUCUACAUCUGCAGGAUUUUCUUCACUUUCUUUUCCUUACUAAAAUAUGUCCCUAGUGCGGUGGUUCCCAACUGGGAAUCACUGUGUUCUCCGAGGUACUUUUGUGGUUGCCCACUGCGGGAGGGGAGCGCUACUGGCAAUGAGUGGGUAGCGGCCCCGGGGUGCUACCACAUUCUACAAUACAAAGGGAAAAAAUCCUACAAUACAGAAUUAUCCAGCUCACAAUGUCAGGAGUGAGGAUGUUACUAUCUGUGCCUGUGAGUGUUUUAGGGAUUCAACUCCCCUGUUGACAUUCUGUGUGGUUUUUUGGAGGAGUAGAGCAGAAGGCGUUUCUAAAGGACAUCUUGCUGUCAUUAAAAUCCCUUCUUGCCACAUAAGAGUAACAUUAAACAUAAAGGAAGAGGAAGACCAGGGACAGACAUGAACAACUAAUUUAGAAUCACAAUGGAAUCCUGAUAAAUCCUGUUGCAGCAAAAACUUUGCAGAAGGCUUCAACCAGUGAUUUCGUUACUAAAAUGUUAAAAGAGUAAAAAUAGCAUAGUCUGACUCAACUCACCUAGACGGUAGCUGCAAAACAUAUGCAUACAAACAUAGCAAAAACAUAGUAAGAUUUACUUUUAUAAAGAGGAAAGACAGCCUCGGCCACCUCUUAUGGAAAGAGACACACACCCCACCAACAAACACAAACACAUCCACAACGAUACAUCCCCAAACCAGGAGACUCUGUGAAAGCUCUCCUAUUGGCUUUGCACAAAAGAACCUCCUCUGAAGGCAGAAAAAAGCUGAGAUUUAACCCCUUUCUAAAAGAAGGAGAACUGGAGUUCCUGUCGUGACUCAGUGGUUAACGAAUCCAACUAAGAACCAUGAGGUUGCGGGUUCAAUGCCUGGCCUCGCUCAGUGGGUUAAGGAUCUGGCGUUGUCAUGAGCUGUGGUGUAGGUUACAGACACGGCUCAGAUCCCUCAUUGCUGUGGCUCUGGCGUAGGCUGGUGGCUACAGCUCCCAUUUGACCCCUAGCCUGGGAACCUCCAUAUGCCAUGGGUGCAGGCCUAGAAAAGGCGAAGGAAAAAAAAAAAAAAAAAAAAAAGACAAAAAAAUAAAAAUAAAAAAAAAUAAUAAAAGAAGGGGAACAAUCCCCCAGGCACACCUGGAAAGGAAUCCAUCACCUUUGAUGCAUGCAUCUGUCCUCAGCCCGAGCACUCAGUGGAGUCACCCUAACAUUUAUAGGGCUUGGCAAAAAAAUAAUCCACUGUGAGGUAAUUCAGUGUAAGCUCAGGUCAUAGCCCCAUCUUGCCAAAUAAAAACAGAACUGCCAAGGAUCCUUUCCUGUUGCUCUAGCCCUCAGACUGAUGUGGUUGCUCACCUGGCUGGCAGUCCUCUUCCCACUGGUCCUCACGCACUUCCUGGGGGAUUGACGUGCGUGUGGCAGCCUCCAGGAAGCUCUGACCCUCUGGGGCUCUUGGGGCUUUCUGGGAUUCCGCUUGGCAGCCACACUUGGCCUCAACAGCUCCCGGGAAGGGAAAAAGCAGAGGGGAGGUGUAGCCUCUAACUGGGCUAGAGCCGUUGACUCCCCCCUCCGCCCUAGAGAAUAACAUGUUCUGCCCCCCCCCCCCAACAGGCCUCCCCAGUGCAGGGGCCCAACUUCCACUCGACACCACAGAGACACAACGACAGAGGAAUUCAUUCACUACACAAGGUCCUGGGAGCCGGGGACAUGGACUGGAGAAGGGCACGUAUCCUCAGAGAAGAAGGAAAUAUUCCAAAGGCAAUUUUAUUUCAACAGGCUCUUGGAGCAAAAACGUUCUCCUCUUAGGUGAACAGAAUACAGAAUAUGAAGCUGGUAACCUAAUUUAUGAAACUGUCCAUGUGUCACUUAAAAGAAAAACAUAGAUCUCAUUUUGUUACCAUCCAAGCUGCUCCCCAAAUCUAACCCCACAGCUGCUUUUGUGUUGACAGGACCUGUCCUCAAGGGGUGGAGGGGACAGCAGGCUAUUCAUCUCUGGUUUUAAAACAGAGAAAAACGAGGGGCUGGGGGACUGGAUCAUUUCCACUGUAACCAGGUCAACUGAGGAAAUCUUUCCUAGCCAAUGCACUUAGACCCACUGGAAUGUAUUUAAAACCAAAACCCUAUCCCAGAAGGAAAACCUGAAGACAAUAGCAAUAUUCAGGAAUGGACCCUGAAAGUAUUUUCGUGUUUGGGCAAAAUUCUAGAUUUUACUAAAUCCACCCAUGAUGCUAUCAGAGAUCUCAUCCUAAAGGCAGUUAUAUCACAAUUCCUCAAGAUUUCUUUCCGCAGAGUGCUUGUUCCUGAUCAAAGGGGUAAGGCUGAGAAAAAAGAAUGUGUGGAUGGAGCUGGGAGAUGACAAGCAAGAGGCAUGGGGAGGCUCCCCCAAGACCCACAUCCGGAUCCACAGUUCAGUGGUUCACUUUUUAACAUGAUAGAUCAGGCAUGCACUCUUCUACUCGUAAAACUAAAUUUACUUAUUAUCCAACACUGCAGUGUUUAUUAGAUUUAUUGAAUAAAUGAUAAAAAUGUAAAUCACAAAAUGUAUUAUAUAACAAAGUGUGGGGUUUUACUGCAUGCCAGGAAUGUACCUUCUCAGGUGAAAUUUUCUGGAAUAAAAGUCAAGGUGGUCAUAAUACCUCCAAAUCAUCUUCAGGUUGCCCUGAACUGGAACGCCAUGAACAGUGUAUUCAACUGCGAGUCUGCACGUACGUGAACAUAUUUCUUUAUCUUACAGUCAUGGUUGGGACACCCAGUUAGUUUGCUAAACUUAGCAAAGUUAGCAGUUAAGAUUUUUUUUUUUUUUAAUGGCUUCACCCAUGGCGUAUGGAAGUUCCCAGGCCAGGAAUUGAAUCUGUGGCAACACCAGAUUUUUUUUUUCUUUUUUCUUUUUUUUCUUUUUUCUUUUUAGAGCUACACCCAUGGUAUAUGGCAGUUCCCAGGCUAGGGGUUGAACUGAAGCUGCAGCUGCUGGCCCACACCACAGCCACAGCAAUGCCAGAUGUAAGCCAGGUCUGUGACCUAAACCAGAGCUCACAUCAACGCCGGAUCCUUAACCCCUGAGCGAGGCCAAGGAUCAAACCCGCAUCCUCAUAGAUACUAGUUGGGUUUGUUAUUGCCAAGCUAUGAUGAGAACUCCAGGAAAUUUUUAAGAUGCUUAGCCACAGCAGCCAGUGUCAGGAUAAUUUUACUUAAGAAUAUAUUUUUCUGAAUAUACAGUGGACACUACAUCUUUGUGAGUCCUCUUGGAGAAUAUAAAUAAACUGUCUAUGGGUACCUGUCAAUUACAAUCCUCCUCUAGUUUGUGUAUUUGUGAUUUACGACAGGAAAAUCAUUCAUUUCCCUAGUGAUCAUGGAGAAGCCUGCUGAAUUUUAUAUAAUGUAAUUGAAGAGACAGUAAGUCAAAACAUAUAAAACAUCCUUCAUACUUAUCUUAGCCAUCUGCAAAGUUUCUUACAGGCACCAACUCUUUAACAUCGUGUCAGGCAGUUUUAUGAGUUUCCCAGGAAUUGUAAGUUAUUUAAACAUGAGCGUUUUGGUGUCCCAACAAAGAACCCCAAAUUAGCAAAUCUAAGGUACUAAACAGAAAAACACUGACGUGCCACGCUGAAGGAUGGCUCACAAAACACCAAGAAACACAGUGAUACAGGCACUUAAGGAUCAAAGAGACAUUCUAAUGGCAGAGCAGAAAAAUAGAAUUUUUUGAGAAAAAUAUGAAAAUGACAUAGACACAAAAAUAGCAGAAAACCUUACAUCCUGCUGUAUGAUAGAAGGCAGCUUGCUUUCCUCCGCCCUACCCUCUCAACAGGAUUAAAGCCUGAUGCAGGAAACACCUAUAUCUAAUUUGUUAUCUACCAAGUUAAGCACAGAAAGUAAAGAAAAAAAAAAAAAAAGGGAAAGAGAAGCACAGCCCAAUUUUACCCAGGAAUGAGGGAAGACUGGGUGGGGUAGGUCCCUGAACCCCGAGGGCAGGCAGCAGGUGCUGCACAGGUAAGCUGAGCUGGUUACAAGGUUCAGUUUUCUAGCUGUGAGAUGAUGGUGAUAAUAUUAUGCCUGUGCUUUCACUGUUUCAGGCUCUUCAGCAAUCCAGCCUCCAGCACCCUCCCUGCCCACCCUCUCCUACCCGACCCUAACAUUCUUCAUAGAUCUGGCUCCAAAGUCUGCUGAUACCGUAGGAGAAACCACUUCCUGCUUUGUGUCCUUACAAGAGCUCUUCAUCCUGCUUACGUAGCACUUCUCUAUCUGCACCAUGACCAGCUGAGUAGGGACACUGUCUCGCACCACAACCCAAAUGCCUUGAGGCCAGAUCAGAAUUUUAUCUACCUCUUACCUCCAGAGUCUCAUAGAGGGUCUGAAGUACAGUAGAUGUUCAGUAAACAUCUGCUGAACAAGUAUGCCAGUGAAUGAAGAAACGUGUAAAUUACCACAAGGACUAAAAAAGGCUAGAAUGAACAGAACCUAGUUCACUUAUUUUCACCCUCCAAUCAUUACAGUUAACAGAAUUCUAAAGAGAGGGUAAAAAUAUAAGGGAAAAUGUAAUCCCAAACAGAAAAAGAUAAUCUCACACAAAAUAACACAAGGAUAGUGCACAUUAUAAAUUACGGCUGCGGAAUUCUAGUCCUUUGAAACCUACGCAGAAUUUCCUUUCCUUCUACCCUUUCAUCUUUCCCAGGAUUUGUUUUUCCACCAUUGAGUGGUUCAGGCUGAAGACCAAAAUGACGCAGGGACACUUAUGUGCAAAGACACAAAAUUUCCCACUCUCUCUCUCCAAACAUUAAGCAUCCCUGGGUCCAGCUCAAACCCUGGACAAGUGCCCAGAGAGUUUUCCCUAAACAUUGCACAUGACUUAAUCUCCCCUCACCCUCGAACUAUGGCUUGGACUUACACUUUACAACUACUACCCUAAAAAGUGUAUACUACUUAUAAUUAAUGAAAAAAACAUGAUCAUCUUGGAAAUACACACACAUGAAAGCAUUUCCUAUGUCAACUGAGGCCAAGUCAAGGCUUUCAGAGAGCCACAGCUGCUAACUGAUUCAUCAAGCUAAAAAGGUCACGCUGGGGAGGAGCUCUGGAGCCAGGGGGCUUGGAUUGGCCACACUAGCUUCAGCACGUUGGCCAGUUCGGAAUCCUACUAUUGUGCCUUGACCUCUUCACCUAUAAAUGGAAAUAAUAGCGGGGCCUACCUCACAGGAGCAUCAUUCAGAGCAGAGAAGUUCAUGCAGAUAAAGUAAACAGACACAUACACGGCAUACAUUAAGCAUUCAGUAAUAAAGCUACUGCUGUAUAGUCAUCUCCAAAUAUUCUUUUCAAUGAUUACUAUAGAACAUUCUAGAAAACAGAACCAAAAAAAUGUUCCCUCUCAGCACAUCUCUGCCAGAAAGUCAUUGCCAUUUGGGGCCUAAGGCUUAGACCAAAGUGUAAAAUCCCGAUCCUAAAAUAUUAUGUUCCUAUAGGGCAUGAAAUCAUUGAAGGUUUUGAAAGGAAAUAAAAUUCAGUAUUAGUUUUACUACAACCCAUAUGAUUAUACACUAAAAAAAAAAAAAAAAAAAAAAACUUUUUGCACUACAUACGACAGAGUCAACAAGGAUAACCCUGCAGUGCUUACUAACAGCAUGCUUGGGGCCGAGCUAUUUGCCCCUCUGAGCCUGCUUUCUCAUUGUCCAGUGAGAUUAGUCAUUGCCACAAUCAUCUUCACCAAAGCUAAUGCCUUGAUGGGAAUGGAUGUGUGUGCAUGUAUAAAUGAAUCACUUUUUGUUCAGUAGAACUUAUCACAACAUGUAAACCAACUAUACUUCAAUCAAACGUUUUAAAAAAGGAAAUAAAGCCCUCAAUUAUGUAUAUAAGAGCAUCUAACUCACAGAUGACCCAUGCAGUCUAUAUAUAUUUAUUCCUCCCAAUUGCUCUCCACAUCUGUGAACUUGCUAUGAUUCACAUCAGUUUUCCAAGAUUCUCCUGUUUUUCUUUCUCCCCCUCUUCCACGUCAGAUCAGGUCUGAAGGAGGAAAAAGAAAAUACUAAAAAGGCAAAACAAUUUUUUGCUUCUGACAAAACCCAAUCAAACAUUCCUGGUGAAUGAGUUCCCUAGUUCCUUGAGCCAAGAAUAUCUGCUGCGAUAAGUAUAUAAGGGGGGCCAAGAAAGGGUGAAUAGUUACCUAAAACUGUACAAAGAAAGCCAACCAUGAAACAUGAAUUGUUAAUAUCAAGCUACUUGUAAACAGAAUAAACAGUGACCUCUUUCCCUGAGUUUGGACUUAGCAGACAAAGAAAAUAAAGGUAUGCUCGUUUUUGACUUUGAAAACAGAUGGUGAGCAGUAUCUGAGAACAGCAAAUUGUAUAUCCUCCUAGAUAUUUCUGCAGGAUUAGAUAGGACUCAAAAAAAAAUGAUACUGAGCAUGUAAGUAAUCCAAUAAAAAUCAGCUUUUAUGUUCUCUCUCCUCCUGAUAACUGAGCAACAUGUAAAAACUUAAUGACUGGGCAUAAAUUUCAAAAAGAUUGGUCUACAGCCUUUUUGAUUAACUUUUAAAUAGCUUGUUUGGGCCCCAAACCUAUUAUUUAAAUUAUUUUUGUUGGUGGCCAAACUGUUUUGACAUUAAAGGAAAAGAAGGAUCUGCCACCUAAGUAGUUGGCGAGGAAGGGUGUACUUCUCCAAUUCUAAGUGUCUUCUGUGCAUAUCCUGCAAAUACAAAUGAGUCGCAAUGAGUAGUUCAAGAAUUGGAUCUCAGUCCUGAGACUACAUGCUAUUUACUUACACAGUAUCAUAGAUGAAGCCAAAAGUCUCUAGUUUGUUCAGCUUUUAGGAAAGUAAGAUUCAGAGAGGUUCUGUAAUUUGAAGUUCAUCCAGCUAAUAAGUACAGUACAGGGAUGUAAGCCAGAGUUUUCUAAAGGCAGCAUCUGCCCCUCCAGCGAAUGGUGCCACCUCUGCGAAUACACAUCCACAGUGGAGACUGUGGAGGCCACUAUUGGAAUGGCCGAUUGGAGUCAACUAGCGGUGGCCAUUGAGUGUUUUUGUUUUUUUAUUCAGUGGGUAUAAGGAGUCACUAAAAUUGUUUAUUAGGAAAAUGACAUGUUGAAGAGGAAGAAAUAUAUUAUGUUAUAGACAUAUAAAUUAAACAAAACAAUGUAACCAUUCUCCUUCUAACAAUUGCUUCCUGGUCUCUUUGACUACACUGGUCUAUGAAAGGCUGGGCAACAAGUCACUGUUUCCAAUCUUUUAAAAAUGUCUAGGAUAUGUCAUAUUUAUCACGAUUAUCUCUUCCAUCCAGAUCCACCCUCCAAAAAACACUCUUCUGUCUGGUGAAAAUCCAAAGUCAACUUUCACAAAAUCUACUAAAGCAUAAAAAGAAAUGAAAUAACCCAGAAUAUUCAACACUAUUGAAGGAGAAUGACAAAGGGGAAGGAUUAACACCACCCUCAACUUUUCUCACUUAUUAUAAAGUUACAGUAACCAAGACAGCAUGGGAUUGGCAAAAGAAGAGGCAAACAGAUCAAUGGAACAGAAUAGAGAGCCCAGAAAUAGACCCACGAGAAUACAGUCAACUGAUCUUUGUAAAAGAGGUAAGGCAAUACAACAGAGCAAGGAUAGCCUUACUGGAAAAAUGGACAUACACCCACACAUACACACACGAAUCUAGACACAGACCUCACACCCUUCACAAAAAUUAUCUCAAAAUGGAUCAGAGACCUAAAUAUAAAACACAAAACUAUACAAUUCCUAGAAGAUGACAUAGGAGAGGACCUAGAUAAACUUAAUUUGGCAAUGACUUUUUAGAUAACACCACCAGAGGCAUAAUCUAUGAAAAAGAGUUGAUAGGUUGGACUUCAUUAAAAUUAAAAAUGUCUGGUUUGCAAAAGAUACUGUCAAGAUUAUGAGAAGACAAGCACAGAAUGUGACAAGAUAUUUGUGAAAGACGUAUCUCAUAAAGGAUUUUGUAUAUGCAACCAUAGAAAGAACUUUCAAAACUCAACAAUAAGAAAACCCAAUUAAAAAAACGGGUCAAAGACUUUAAUAGACACCUCAUCAAAGAUACACAAAUGGCAAGUAAGUAUGCAGACAGGUUAUCCUCAUCAUCAGGGAAAUGCAAAUUAAAGAAACAAUGAGAUACCACCACAUAUCUCCAUUCUAAUAUACAUAUUAUUUGGCCAUUGUAAAAUCUAGAAUAUUGACAAUAGCAAAUGUUGACAAGAACAUGGAGCAGCAGAAACACAACCACUGCUGGUAUGACUGUAAAAUGGUAUAGUCACUUGGAAGACAAAUUGGUGCUGCUUAUAAACUGAGCAUUCUCUUACCAUUCAGCAAUCACGUUCCUUCUUAUUAUUCAAAGAGGCUGAAGCUUAUAUCCACACCAAAACCCACACCCAAAUAUUUAGAGCAGCUUUAUUCAUAAUUGUCAAAACAUGGAAGCAACCAAUACGUCUUUAGCAGGAGAAUGAAUAAAGAAACUAUGGUACACUCAGAUAUUGGACUAGUAUACAGCAGUAAAAAAGACAUGAGCUAUCAAGUCUUGAAAAGACAUGGCAGAAACUUCAGUGCAUAUUACUAAAUGAAAAAAGCCAAUCUGAAAAGGUAACAUAUUGUAUGAUUCCAACUCUGACAUUCUGGAAAAGGCAAAACUAGGGAGACAAUGAAAACAUUAGUGGUUGCCAGGGUUUGGGAGGGUGGGAAGAUGAAAAGAUGAAGCACAGGGGAUUUAAAGGGGAGUAAGUAUACUCUAGGAUACCACAGGGAUGGACACAUGCCGUCAUACACUUGUCUAUAAGAUGUACACCACUUAGAGUGAACCUUAAUUGAACUAUGAACUUUGGGGGGUAAUGACGUAUCAGUGUAGGUUCCCCAACUGUAUCAAACACACCACUCUAACAAGAGAUGUUGAUAAUGGGGCAGGCCAUGCAUGUUUAGGCAACAAGGGGUAUGUGAAAAAUCUCUGUAGCUUCCUCUCAAUUUUGCUGUCAAUCUAAAGCUGCUCACAAUAAAUGCUCUAUUUAAGAGAGAGCCAAAGAAGAAUGAAACAUAAUUUUCUUUUUUUUUUUUUUUUUUUUUUUUUGUUCGUUUGUUUUUAGAGCCACACCCAUGGCAUGUGGAAAUUUCCAGGCUAGGGGUCAAAUCAGAGCUCUAGCUGCCGGCCUACACCACAGCCACAGCAACACGGGACCUAAGCAGCAUCUGUGACCUACACCACAGCUCAUGGCAACACCAGAUCCCCAACCCACUGAGGCCAGGAUUGAACCCGCAUCCUCAUGGAUACAAGUCAGAUUCAGUUACUGUGCAUCACAAUGGGAACUCCUGAAACAUAAUUUUCUGAUACUUAUAAUCUUUUUGGGAAAAAAAUGUAUAGCAUUCCUUGUCCUUUUAGACCUAAUAAACACAAAAUAUAUUUGUGGGCAACCAAGCACCAUAAAAUCCUCUCCAGACACAAUUUCAGGUGGAGGAAAGGAUCAAUUUCAGUAAGAGUGGGAUAUAAAUGAAUAAAACCCACUUCCUGCUUUCUCAAUACAAACAUUCAUUUAAAGGGGAUACUUGUUUACAUAGGCAGAAAAUUGAGACAGCUUUCAAAAAGUACUUACUGUCUGUGAGCCCUGGUUAUGAUAUGGUAAUAAGUGCUAUUCCUUGACAAGGGUAAAAUAAAUAACUCUGGCUUAUGCUAAUUUUUAAUUAAUGUUAAUGUAAAAAAUUAACUUAUCAAGUCACCAUCAAAAGAUAUGCAUGCCUAGCUAGCAAUUGAAAUCAGACAAAAAGUCAAAGAAAAAGCUCCUGCAUGAUCUUCUAUAUACACUAAUAUAAAAUGAUUUAUUUGAGAUAGUGUUUAUGUUGGAAAGGUAUGUAAGGAUAUAAAUAGCUUCUAUUCCGCUGGUUCAAUACCAAUGCAGAACGUAUGCCUUAAUGGUUCCAUGAAUGGUCCAUCAGAAGCCAACUCUAAGUCUACACUACGUGUAUCUUAAAACAAGAACAAGGACUGGCUGGUUGAUUGUUCAUACAUCUUUCUGAGGAACAGGCUUUCCUAUAAAGCUUUCUAUAUGAACACAUCUACCUUCCAACUAUAGUUUUCUUGUCUUCCCUCAGUACCUGUAUCUUUUUUUUCCUACAUUCUCCUGCAAAGAAUUUACAAACUGUCAACAAAGCCUUAUGUUAAAGAGAAGCAUCUAAGCACUGGCUCAGUCUUUGUAAGGCCAAUUAAAAUUCUCUUGUCUUUAGAAUGAUCUGAUCCUCCCAUUUUUAAAGGAGUGAUUCCAAAAGCAAAAAAUAUCUAGUCUUGAACUCAGCAGAUUUUUUAGUUAUAUAGUCUCCUUUCCAAAGACUCCAUAAAAGAUGACACCAAGCCACAUGCAGCUCACUUUCUUUGGUUGCUUUGAUGAGAUUACUGACCUUGACUACUCUCCCAUGGGAGGGGCAGAGCAGAGUCAUAGAAACUCUUAUUUUUUCUCAAAUGUGCUUUGAGUGUUGAACAUGUUAAUGGAAAUGACCAAUCUUGAACAACAUGAUAUUCUUUAGGUAAUCUAUAGUACAAACAUUGUAACACUUAAUAAACAACUAAACUAUAAUCUGAAGAAGGCUUAGACUUAAAAACAGACAACCAUAAUGCUGAGAAAAGUCUUGAUUAUCAAACUAUAAUCUGAUCUUAUAAAUUCAAAUAUGAAAUAACUUCAAUAUUUGGAUAUGAGCUUCAUAAAAAUCAAGUUAAAGUUACUCUACCAGCUUCACCAUGCAAGUUUGUGGCAAAACUAAGACUAGAUCUCCAAUUUCUCAAUGCCUCUUUGUUUUUAUUAAGUCACUGGAAUGAAGUGCUAUACAUAUCAUAUUUAAUCAAAUUUCCAAUUUGCUCUUUUCUCACUGGAUGUUAAUAACUGGAGUUCAGAAUUACCAAAGGUCCUGGUAUCACAAAGUAUAUGUAUGCUUGGGCCAAGUCAGGGACACGCCCAGGAGAGCUGAUGGCCCUGGCUGUUGUAAUAGAGGGCAGGCUUUCAGGGCACUUGUCUACUGCAUCCCAUCCCCAACUCAUACACUGAAAAGACAACACUUUCAUACUGGUUUGAACCAAAAACUAUAGCAAUACUGUUGGAAAAGAGAUACUCCUGGUAGAUUAGAAUAAGACAAGACUGAUAGAUGGUAGAGAUAAAUUACCUUGACCUUAGUUCUAAGUAAAACUAAGUAGAACAGAAACCGAGAGUAGAGAUAUUGCAAAAGCCUUGAGCUCUCAGGCCGAAGAAAAACUUCCACGGUUCCAUUUCUUUCCCCAAAGUUCCAACUUCUGUUCCCUAGGCUAUCAAGGGAAAAGAGGCCAAUAAUGGGAAGAAAGAAACCCCCAGCCCCCCCAACUUAUGAAGAUGGAAACUGGUGAUAUAGGAUUCCCAGAAAGGGUAGAGAAAAACUCACUUAGCCUCCUACAUUCACAGAACUAGGUAAGUACCUCCCCCAGCCCCGCUCCUUGGACCGUAAUGGAUGGGGAAGAGCGAGGAAGAAGGAAGUGGGUCUUGGUUUUACUGCUUGCUGCCUUAUCAAGAGCAGCCCUUAGGCCUGGGGCAACUACAGCUGAUGGUGGUCACACCAUGAAGAUUGUUGCUCUCUAGUCCAUUCUUGAUAAUUUAGGGUGAAUAAUACAAAACGUUUUAACUCAGGCUACGGUUGUAAGCCUACUUCUCACCUCUAUCAAGUGAAGCCAAGCGAGGUAUGAAGAGUGCCUAACAGUUUACCAACUGUCAUAUAUAUCAUACCUCAUCUAAUACAACUCUCUGAAAAGAAAGCAUUGUAAAUAUCCCCACUUGAGAAAUGAUGAAAGGAAAAUUCAGAGAAGUCACAAAAUUUUCCCAGAGUUUACCAGGUAAUCAGAAGAGGCUGGUUUCUAAUCUAGAUCUCCUGACUCCAAGUGCCCUAAACCAUGGGAACUGACUGAAGAUUUCAUCUCCCUCCCUCUUCCAUCCUUUGCUUACAUUUAAAGUGCCUAUGAGCAAUAGAAAGGUUUUUUGAGGGUUGGGUUUUCAGAGAAUUUAUAGAUUUCAAUUCUCCCUGUUCUUUCUGCUCCCAAAUUAUCAUAGAUUACAUAAAGUUGGCUUCAUAUUAUCUCUUGGGUCUUUAGAUGAAAAAAUAAAUUUUAGAAAUAUAAUUAAAAAAAUGGGCUUAAUGUACCUUGGGUGGGGGCAGGGGAGGGUGGGGCCAAUGGUUUUUAUGUCUCUCUGCUCUAGAAUCAAAUCCAGAUUUGGCUCUAGGGCCAAAUCUCCAGUAGAAAAGUCAAUCCUGUCUUCCAAUCAAACAAAUGAAGUCAUCUGUGCUAAUAUUUAUACAAGGGAUACAAAGAGACUACACAGUAUCACUUUGUAGAUGCUGGGAAAAGACACCACCUGUUCAUUCAAAGCCGAAGACUUCAGUUCCACCUAGAUGUUGGGGAAAUUAACAUAAACUUUUUUGAAAGAAGGGUUAGUCAUUCAAAAUAGUAACAUUCUUUCUCCUCCCUCCAAAAAACAAUCUUCAGAUAAUUAGGAUUUGAGAAGAAAGGGGUUGGUUCUCUACAUCAUGUGGCACUGUGAAGAUAUGAUAAUUAACAUCCACUGUUAAGAGUUACAAAGCAAUCCCUUUCCUAUGUUAUUCAGAAGACUUGGCUCCUUAUUCCCGAAUUAAAAUGAGGACGAAAAGACCUAACUUCCGCCUUGUCUCAACAUCUGUGGGCUGCUUUCCCCACAGCCAACCACCUUUCCUAAACUCCCGACUUUUCAACCGCUAAGACCAUGGAAACAUUAAGAAUGACCCUCCUUCAUCAAACCUCAACUUCCCCUCCCACUUGCACUUCUGACCAAUGUACUCACUUCAAAGCAAGCAACAGCAUCCUGUUCAGUUACUCAGUAGGGCCUCUGUAUCUUCACCUAACACCUUCAACCCAAAGAAAACCAAAAGCCACAAAAGACCUCCAUCAUCUCCACACAGCUCCUAGUCCAGCGAUGGCACUUAUGUAACCUCUGGUUUUUGCUCUUAUUGUUUAUUUUGUCAGUUGCCAUGGGAAAGACUGGACAACUCCAUCUGCAAGGGGUAAUUACUGGCCUUCCAAACACACACACACUCACGCAGCAGAGAAGAAGUAUGUGCAGUUAAAGACUUCUUCAAGGAGACCAAGCAAAGGUUAACCAAUGUAUUACUUUGCUGCUGGCAUGCACACAGAAAGGCAGCUGUUCGUUACCAAGUAUACUCCAUAUUUUCAGCUCAAGUAUUCAUAAUCGAAAUUAGUAUCUCCUCACAAGUUAAUAUUUCUCAGGCACUACAGACUAAGUGGAUCAUCUUCGCACAAAGAAGAACCAUAAAUAGAAAUUCACAAGUCUGACUUUACCGAAUGUCAAUGAGGUUAAGAGAGGCUGAGCAACUCUCAUAGGACUGAUUAAUAGUAGAGUCAAGAGUCCAGCCCAGAGCCCACAGUCUUGCUGCACUGACCAUUGCUCACGGUGCCUGACCACAGCCUGGGUCACAAGCACCGCUGGCUUCUGGUCUGAUCUCCUGACAGGCUGAAGGGACUCCAACUCUCACCCAACCCAUCCAGUCAAAGUGAGAAAAAUACAAAGCUCCUUUGGUACCAAAGUGCCUAUGAUCACAGGCCACAAUAGUAACAGUGAUCCUCUCUUUUGAUUCCAGCACAAAAUAAAUAUGCAUGUGUGACUGACAUUCAAACGAUGUGGCCUUUUCCACUUUCUUCACCAGUUUCCAUUUCCUGCAGUUAACUCCUUAACACUCUUGCAUGUCUUGCCAAAACCAUGGCUACCUGCUGAUGUACAAGAUAAAGUCAACUCUGAGUUUUAGGAGAUUUAAGAGUGUGGACUAGUAAGAAGAGCAGUAGUUCUGCUGCCAUCUACUUUGGUUUUUUUUUUCCCCUGGGAGAAGAAAUAUUUAUCCCUUGGCCUCUUCUUCAAUGUAGGUAAUCAUUUAGACUGUUGUGAUUCUUUUUUAAGUAGUUAAUUUACAAUGUUCUGUGAAUGUCUGCUGUGCAAAGUGACCCAGUUACACACAUAAACACAUUCUUUUUCUCACGUUAUCCUCCAUCAUGUUCCAUCACAAGGGAUUAGACGGAGUUCCCUGUGCUAUACAGCAGGAUCUCAUUGCUUAUCCACUCCAAAUGCCACAGUGAUUUUUAAUCUUUACCCUUUGGAUUGGAUUCCUAAGGAUGAAAUGUUUGUAGAAUUCCCAAAGAAAACUCUCGUGGUAGUGCAAAGUUUAAAAUACAAUUAAAAGAGAUCAGGUGCUGUCAGAAGCAGUCUUGCAGACGAGGCUGGCCAUGUUAAUUGCUGCAUCUUUUAACAUGUCAACAAACACGGGUGGAGUCUCCAGAAGAGCCAGGCUCAUCCCUACCCCCCUCACAGUCCAGUCUACCCUCCUGGACUCCACCGACCAGUGGGGACAUCGGGCAGUGUAGACUGCCCCCUUCUCCAUCAGCACGGCACUCCCGGCUGUCACAGUGCUGCCGGAAUGAGUUUGGUAAGACGCUGGCUCCAGUCCCUUGGCCUCAUCUGACCCUGUCCUCCUGCCAUAUCACUCAUCUCCUAGAAAGAACAUAUUCCCAAGCCUCUUCCCCAUCAGUAGUAGGAAGGGAAUUUCAAGUCCCUGAGUGUUAAGUGAUGUGGGUAGAGAAAAAGGUCCAGCCUGGCUUCCUCAGGCGGGAGAUGAGAGGGAGCGGUAGGCAAACACAAUGCUAUACUUUCACUUUGCCAAAUUCCCAUCCUUUUUUGGCCUGAGGCAACACCAGAAGAGAAAGCCAAGAGGAGGUGGGAGGAUGAGUGGCAAGGGCUCCUCCUCUUCCCCUGUGCUUCCUGUCUGUAAACACAUCUGCACCACCCUUCCCCACGCAGGGCGCCUGGGGAGAUGCACGGGCUCGCCUGCCGGCGGGGCCCCCACCCACACCAGGCACUUCCGUACGCCCCGGGAAGCUGGGCACGGAGGGUUGUCAGGGUGGAUCCAGGCAGCCCAACGGAUGACAGUGCCCUUUCCAUUAACAGCCAGAGUUCUUGGGCUGCUUCCCAGAGGUGAGCAGGGAAAGGACAUCAAAACAUUUUUGUCUUUGCCCUCUCCUAGCACCACACUCUUACCCUUGCCCUAGAUGCUGCAGCCCACAGGAGUGAACGGGAGGGCCUGGCCGGGGGGUGAGCCAUUCUACCUGCGGGAAUGAAGGCAGGCCCCAGAGCAGGGAGGCCGUGGUGCAGAAACCCCAGCUCACAGACCCAAGGCCAGAGCAGAAGCUGUAAUUAAACAUAAACUUGCCAGCGCUCUCUCUUAACACAUGAAGCCAAAAGUUAAAACGUCUAAUGGUCUGGGGCCCAUGCCAAGCCCCAGCCCAGGGCCCUCCCCACAGAGACUAAUGCAAAGGAGUGAGGUGUGGCAGGGGCCAGACAACCAGGUGGCUGCAGGGAGCCCCUCUUCCAGGCUUCUGUGACGUGCUAACCACCAUCAGUGGUGCUUUGUUGAUGUAUCUGGCCCACCAGGAAGAGUGUGGAGCCGACAGCCUUUGCUGGACUUCAUGUCUUUGGCUAAACAUGUGAGGUCUGCACUGCCGAACAAAGUGGCCACCAGACACACGUGGCUCACGGGCACUUGAAAUGUGGCCAAUCCCAGCCGAGAAGUGCUGAGCAUUUCAAAGGCACAGAGGAUUACAUGAGCAUGAAAGUAGAUUACAUGAAAGUGGACUAUCUCAAUUUUUUUUAAUCUCCAUUACCUAUUAAAAUCAUAAGAGUUUGGCUACAUUGGUUAAGUAAACUGUAUGGUUAAAGUUCAUUUCACUUGGUUUUCUGUUUCCCAACAUGGCCUCUAGAACAUUUCAAAUCACACUUUACAUGUACAUAUAUACAAACAACGUGCGUCGUAUUUCACUUGGAUGGCAUGGCUCUGGGUACGCCAUUAAUGCUGCUGAAGGAAUGAAUGCUGACUGAAGAGACAGCAUUCAAUAGUCCAUAGAAAUGGUUAAAAAAGGAGCAAGCCAUCGCUCUUCUCUGAAGUAACGUUUGUAGCUGGAGCUACAUUUCAUUCUGAGUCACUUGCUAUGAGAAAAUGCUUACUAAUCACUCAGGACUCCAAAAGAAUGAGAGGGCGACAGACUGUCGGCCAGGCCACACCACCAAGGCCAAACAACCUUCGGUCCUAUGGUGGAGACUCCACAGAGCACAGGACCAAGCACACACACACACUGCAAGAAACUGCCAAAUGGAAAGAAAACAACCCAUCUGAGAACCCCACAGUUUUCCAAACUUCUCUUCACUCUAAACCUAACUCUGUUCUCAGUCCAACCCUUUGCUGUUCAAUAUUCUUUAAGACUGUUUUAAGACAAUUCACUGCAAAUUAAAAGCACUAUGAGUAUCAGCUCACACACACAUCAGGAUAGCUACUAUAAAAACAAGAAUAAUAAAUAAAAAGUAUUGGUGAGGCUGUUGAGGCAUUAGAACCUUUGUGCACUGUGGGUAGAAAUGUAAAAUGGUGCAGCUGCUUUGGAAAAAAAGUAUGGAGGUGCCUCAAAACAUGAAAACUAAAACUGCUAUAUGAUCCAGCAAUUCCAUUUCCAGGUAUGCAUCCAAAGGCACUGAAAGCAGGAUCUCUAGCAGAUCCUUACAUGCCCAUUGGUCAUGGCACCAUUAAUUACAACAUCUAAGAGGUGGAGGAAACCCACGUGUCCAUCAACAGAUGAAUGGAUAAACAAAACGGGUGUGUACCUACUCUGGAAAAUUAUUCAACCUUCAAAGAAGGCAAACCUGCCCAAUGCUAGGAAAUGAGUGAAUCCAGGGGUCAUUGUGUGAAGUGAAACAAGCCAGUCACAAAAGGACAGAUAUUGUGUGAUUUCACUUAUGACCUCUCUAAAGUAGUCAGUCAAGCCUAUAGAAACAGAAAUUAGAAUAGUGAGUGCCAGAGGCUGGAGGGAGGGGAGACUGGGCAGUUGUUGUUUAGUGGGUACAGAAUUUCAGUUUUGCAAGAUAAAAAAGUUCACAGAUCUGUUACUCAACAAUGUAAAUAUUAACAGAACUGUACACUUAAAAAUGGUUAAGAUGCUAAGUUUUAUGGGUUUUUUUUUUUACAAUAAAAAAUGACCAAAACAUGCAGCAUGAUCAAUUUUAGUGCUGCGGAAAAGUCCACAAUGGAGACUCUGACCCAGUACAACAUCUCAGCAUCUUUUGUUUUCAUAAAAGGAGUUCCCCGGUGGUACAGUCGGUUAAAGAUCCAGCAUUGUCACUGCAGUGUUGUGGGUUCAAUCCCUGGCCAGGAAUGUCCACAUGCUUCGGGUUCAGCCAAAAAAAAAAAGAAAGAAAAAAGAAAAGGAAAGAGAAGAAAAUACACUCAAACAGCUAUUUGUACACCCAUGUUUACAGCACUUUCCACAAUAGCCAAAAGGGGGGAACAACCUAAACAUCCAUUGACAGAUGGCUAAACAAAAUGUGACACAUCCAUACAAUGGAUUAUUAUUCAGCCUUACUAAAGAAUGAAGUUCUAAUGCAGGCUACAACACGAAUGAUCCCUGAAGACAGUGUGCGAGGUGGAACAAGCCAGUCAGAAAAAGGCAAGCAGUGCACAACUCCACUGAAAGGAAGUGUCUAGUGCAGUCGAAUCCACAGAGAUGGAAUUUGCUGGGGACUGGGGGUGAAGGCAAAAUAGGAAGUUAUUGUUUAAUAGGUAGAGUCUCCGUUUGGGAAAAUGAAAAAGUGCUCGAGAUGGCUGGUAGGGAUGGUUGCACAACAACGUGAAAGGAUUUAAUACCCCCUGAAGUGUUUACUUCAAACAUGGUUUAAAUGAUCUAUUUGAUGUUAAGGAUAUUUCACCUCUAGUUUAAAAAAAAAA